rnacentral:misc_RNA from 1 species
GAUGAAGAACGCAGCGAAAUGCGAUACGUAAUGUGAAUUGCAAAUUCAGUGAAUCGUCGAGUCUUUGAACGCACAUUGCGCCCCCUGGUAUUCCGGGGGGCAUGCCUGUCCGAGCGUCAUUGCUGCCCUCAAGCACGGCUUGUGUGUUGGGCCCCGUCCUCCGAUCCCGGGGGACGGGCCCGAAAGGCAGCGGCGGCACCGCGUCCGGUCCUCGAGCGUAUGGGGCUUUGUCACCCGCUCUGUAGGCCCGGCCGGCGCUUGCCGAUCAACCCAAAUUUUUAUCCAGGUUGACCUCGGAUCAGGUAGGGAUACCCGCUGAACUUAAGCAUAUCAAUAAGCGGAGGA